rnacentral:misc_RNA from 1 species
AGACAAAACCACACAAAAGAUAAUUUAUGCGUAGGAUGUAACAUUG